AGAGUGAACGCUGGCGGUAGGCCUAACACAUGCAAGUCGAGCGGCAGCACGGGUACUUGUACCUGGUGGCGAGCGGCGGACGGGUGAGUAAUGCCUAGGAAUCUGCCUGGUAGUGGGGGAUAACGCUCGGAAACGGACGCUAAUACCGCAUACGUCCUACGGGAGAAAGCAGGGGACCUUCGGGCCUUGCGCUAUCAGAUGAGCCUAGGUCGGAUUAGCUAGUUGGUGAGGUAAUGGCUCACCAAGGCACGGAUCCGUAACUGGUCUGAGAGGAUGAUCAGUCACACUGGAACUGAGACACGGUCCAGACU
rnacentral:rRNA from 1 species